rnacentral:rRNA from 1 species
UGCGUAGGCGGAUCAAUAAGUCAGUGGUGAAAUCUCUCGGCUCAACCGGGAAACUGCCAUUGAUACUGUUGAUCUUGAGUUCGGUUGAGGUAGGCGGAAUGUGUAAUGUAGCGGUGAAAUGCUUAGAUAUUACACAGAACACCAAUUGCGUAGGCAGCUUACUAGACCGACACUGACGCUGAGGCACGAAAGCGUGGGGAGCGAACAGGAUUAGAUACCCCUGGUAGUCC